GUGCAAAGCCCAUAUGAGCGUUGCUAAAGAUAGACGGAAUAAACCGGAUAAAAAAGAAACGGAAACGAACAACGCCACCACCCACACAGCAGGAGACGCGCUCAUUGGGAGAUCACGAUCGAACGAUCGAGACGAAACCGGUGUCAUCUAUCGGAGUCCCGUGAUAUUACAAGCAAAAUCUGGAUAGAAGCCAGUUUGCAACACACAAACAGCUGAUUUCUUUGUGUUAAAAAAUUGAAUGAUUUUGCUAUUUCGAGAUCUUAAUAAACAUUUUCUGGGUA